AGCGAACGCUGGCGGCAGGCUUAACACAUGCAAGUCGAGCGGGUGUAGCAAUACAUCAGCGGCAGACGGGUGAGUAACGCGUGGGAACGUACCUUUUGGUUCGGAACAACACAGGGAAACUUGUGCUAAUACCGGAUAAGCCCUUACGGGGAAAGAUUUAUCGCCGAAAGAUCGGCCCGCGUCUGAUUAACUAGUUGGUAGGGUAAUGGCCUACCAAGGCGACGAUCAGUAGCUGGUCUGAGAGGAUGAUCAGCCACAUUGGGACUGAGACACGGCCCAAACUCCUACGGGAGGCAGCAGUGGGGAAUAUUGGACAAUGGGGGCAACCCUGAUCCAGCCAUGCCGCGUGAGUGAUGAAGGCCCUAGGGUUGUAAAGCUCUUUUGUGCGGGAAGAUAAUGACGGUACCGCAAGAAUAAGCCCCGGCUAACUUCGUGCCAGCAGCCGCGGUAAGAC
rnacentral:rRNA from 1 species